rnacentral:rRNA from 1 species
AUACGGAGGGUGCAAGCGUUAUUCGGAAUCACUGGGCGUAAAGGACGCGUAGGCGGGUUGGCAAGUCAGAUGUGAAAUCCUACAGCUUAACUGUAGAACUGCAUUUGAAACUGCUAACCUAGAGUAUGGGAGGAGGAGAUGGUAUUAGUGGUGUAGGGGUAAAAUCCGUAGAUAUCACUAGGAAUACCGAAAGCGAAGGCGAUCUCCUGGAACAUAACUGACGCUAAGGCGUGAAAGCGUGGGGAGCAAACAGGAUUAGAAACCCUUGUAGUCC